rfam:Schistosoma mattheei strain Denwood, Zambia genome assembly, scaffold: SMTD_scaffold0022144
GUACUGCUGAGGAGUCCCACAAUAGGACGAAAUGGCCAUCCAGUUC